AAAUCUUACCACCAUACAAAAAUGACCUUUAUAAAAACACAUUUUGGCGGAAUAAUUAUAUACGAGAUGUUAAAAAAUCACACCAGUGUUGGUUUAUUCACUGCGUAUGGUGCCAUUUUCUGUACAGAACGCUAAAUAUUAUGAUUAGUUUUUAUUAUUUUGUAAAUCUAAGACAUACGCAAUUUCCCUUACCCUUCGUUUGAGGAAAGCUCGUUUCUGACGCCUCUACGUCGCGGUCGCUUUUGUCUUUUGAAUGAGCUUGCCGUAAACACCGCCCACCUUGUAUACCACCAUACGCAAAACCAUGCAUUACGUAGCCCCUGAAUACUGUUGUAUUACAGUAACGGGGAUGUAGCAUGUUGUACAUCAUGUAUUGUGACAAUUUGGCGUAUUUAUAAAACAGACUAAGCAUAUUUUUGUGUAGACUUUAAGGGGACAUGGGUCCCCCAUUGCCCCGUCAGCCUAAACGACAGAAAUGGCAUUAUAGCCUCGUGAAAUCACAAGAAUAGAGCAUUAUUUUUUCGCGAAGUUGCACUCUGUCCUGUUGCAGAUAUGAGGAUCACAGACAGUGUAAUACGGAGCUUCCGAGUGGCCAGAACAUAUAAAGAAAACUCAGAGAAAAUCAACUGUGUGGAUUACAGUCCGAACGGAGAAAGCGCCAUAUCCAGCAGCGACGACGACUGCAUCGUUUUAUAUGACAUUCAAGAAGGAAAACCAAAACGUACUCUAUUCAGCAAGAAGUAUGGCGUGGACCUCAUCCGCUACACUCACGGGGACGCGCAGUGUGUUGUUUACACCUCCAACAAAAUCAACGAUACCAUACGGUACCUGUCCUUAAGUGACAACAAAUUCAUCCGAUAUUUCCCAGGACACACUGCGAGGGUCAUGUCUCUAAUGUCAUUACCGGUAGACGACACUUUUAUCUCCGGCUCACUGGACAGGACGAUCCGAAUCUGGGACCUCCGUUCUCCUAACUGUCAGGGUUUGACGAAUCCACUGGGGAACCCCGUCUGCUCCUUUGACCCUGACGGACUGAUAUUUGCUGCAGGGGUGGAAUCACAGACCAUUAAACUCUACGACCUACGUGCUUUUGACAAGGGUCCGUUUGCCUCUUUUGAGACGAGGUUCAAUCGCAGCUGUGACUGGACCGGACUGAAGUUCAGUUAUGAUGGGAAACAGAUCCUCGUCUCUACAAACGGUGGGAUGAUACGAGUCCUCGAUGCCAUCAGUGGAUCUGUGCUGCACACCUUCUCCGGCUACAACAACAGCAGAGGAAACUCCCUGGAAGCCUGCUUCACCCCUGACUCCAUGUUCGUGAUGAUUGGCUCGGAGGACGGGAGGGUCCACGUGUGGAGCACCGACAGUGGGAUGAAGGUGGCCGUGUUGGAUGGGAAACAAGGACCCAUCAACACACUGCAGUUCAAUCCCAGAUUCAUGACGUUUGCCAGCGCCUGCAGCACCAUGACCUUUUGGCUUCCUUGUGUCGAAGACUCGUAGAGGAAGUGACUUUUUUUCAAACGACGCCACCAUGCUGUGGUUCAGGGUCGUCUUUAAUGCACAGAACUACAUUUUAGGAUUUUUUUUAGAAUGUUUUAAGAAUUUAAAACACUAUGUCAAAUAUUUUAAAAAGCAGUAUUUUUAACUGGACUAAAAGUCUAUGUAAAUAGGUUUUAAUCGUCUUUUACUGUAUUGUGUGUUUUUUAACUGGUCACCUUCAUUUCUUUGUACUUUUUACUCAUUUUAAUUGGACUUUUUUUUACAAUAAUAUUUUAUAUGUUUAUAUUAUUUAUAUAUAUUAUUACUAUUUUUAACACCAACUCCAGUCUACUUAAACAUUACUUGUCUGACUACCAAAUCCACUAACUAAUACAGAAAUAAGAAAUACAUGCACUUCCACAGGAGACUUGAAUGAUGACAUCACUGUGAUGUCAUUAGUGAUGAACCAAACUUCAAAUAAAAAACUUUUUUUUUUAUUUUUAAUUUAGAAAAAAUUGUUGUUAUUAUUAUUAUUAUUAUUAUUACACAGCUUGGUGAUGAAGCAGAUGUAGAUGUAAUCAGAAGUGAGUAAACAAAGCCGUGGACGUGCUGGUGUGUGAUGAGAGACGGACCGAUUUAAUCCGUUUGGUGAGCGGAUGUUUUUCCUUUUUUUGUAAACACAAAGUUUGUCUUCCUGAGGCAGAAGAGGGGGAGGGGGCUCUGCUGAAUAAUGUAUAGUUGCUUGGGUUGUGUACUCACCAGUGAGUGAAUAAUGAAUGAUCCCAUCACAGUUAACCUCACAGGUACACACUUAUCUCUCUCUCUCUCUGAACAACCUCCGUGUCUGUGUGUGUCACUGAGGGAGGACGAGAGAAGAGGAAGAUUUUAAAACAUUUGUCUUUGACUCCUCGGAUGAACAGGAGCGACAUUUACAGUGCAGUGUGAAUUUUAAGAGCCUGAGGAAAAUGUCGUGAAGUAAAAAUACUGGUCUCAUUCAUCAGUAUUUCUUCCCUGUACUCGUCAACAUCAAGGAAACCAGAAUGCAGCCCCAAACCUACCAGUAACCAGCACCGUGUUUCUCUGUUCUUGACUUUCUGUCUUUGUAGAAGGUUUGGCUUCUCAGCUGCAGUUCCUCCAUGAUGAUUGGUCAGGAUCUCUGGACACUUAUUGGUCAGACAAGUUGAUAUAGAAUAUAAAAAGAAUGAGCACUGAAACAGUCACUCAUUUUCUCAUGUUUUAAGUUAAGUUUAAAGCUGAGUAUUAAUGUAAAAAUCCCUCAGUGCAAAGACUGUUCUUUUUUGUUUUUUAAAUGUGAUUCAAUCAGUACAUAUACUGCUGCCACCUCUGAAAAAUUCCUACUCCCGUCUCAGACCUUAAAUGCAUCCCUAAAUCUCCCAGUGUGAAGGAAUCAAACCUUUAAUUUUUUUUAUCUACUAACUGCCCCUACAAACACGUCAUUAACUGUUAAUGGAACCUUUUUCAUCCACAGAACUCUUCAAGGACGAACCACCUCAGCCUUCGUUAUGACAUCAUAUCAAUCAGUCUGAUUGGAGUCACGUUACUGUGAGGUGACGGCUUCUUAAAAACUACUGUACUAAAACCAUGAGCAGUGACCAUGACCCCCCCCCACAGCCCUCUCACCCCCCACACACCGAGACAUUUUAAAGCUGUGGUCAUCGAUACGCAAAGAGUUUUAGAUCAGCGGUCAGGGUGGCAUAUCCAUUGUCAGGCACAUUAUUACUCAUCAGCCACAGUUCCGCAGAUUGUGUUUCAAGUGUUAGGAAUCUCCCAAGUCACCCUGAAGGCGUUUAUGUCACAGGUGUGUGUGGGUCCAUCUGUCUGCCGCCAGUGGAGAGGCAGCCGACCUGCCGAGCGACAGACACGGACCUGGAGCUGAGGAGCACUGACAGCCGACUGCCAAA